rnacentral:piRNA from 7 species
CCCGGAUAGCUCAGUCGGUAGAGCAUCAGA